CUCCCCCCUUGGACUCCGCUCUGGGCCUUGCUCGGUCCCCCUGGUUUCUUUUAAUUCACAAAAAGUAACAACAAACAGUCCCCAGCCGCCUCCCUUCUCGGGCUCGUCCCUCCCGGUGCGGUUUGGCAGAGAAAGCCCUCGCAGUCCCCUGGAAGACUAUCCAACGCCGGCCGGCCGGGAGGCGCCCCGCCGCAGAAACCCGACGCUGAUGCCGGGCUCAGCCAGCCUCAGUUUCCUCAUCUGUAAAACAUCCUGUUGGGAAACAAGGUUUGUUGUAAAGAUCAAGCCAAAUCAUGUCUAUGGAAGAACCUUGAAGAGUAUGAAAGCAGC
rnacentral:lncRNA from 1 species